UACGUAGGGGGCGAGCGUUGUCCGGAUUUAUUGGGCGUAAAGAGCUCGUAGGCGGUUCGAUAAGUCGGACGUGAAAUCUCCACGCCCAACGUGGAGGGGCCGUUCGAUACUGUCGUGACUCGAGUCCGGUAGGGGAGUGUGGAAUUCCCGGUGUAGCGGUGAAAUGCGCAGAGAUCGGGAGGAACACCCGUAGCGAAGGCGGCACUCUGGGCCGGUACUGACGCUGAGGAGCGAAAGCGUGGGGAGCAAACAGG
rnacentral:rRNA from 1 species